rnacentral:rRNA from 1 species
UACAGAGGUCUCAAGCGUUGUUCGGAUUCAUUGGGCGUAAAGGGUGCGUAGGCGGCGCGGUAAGUCGGGUGUGAAAUCUUGGAGCUUAACUCCGAAACUGCAUUCGAUACUGCCGUGCUUGAGGACUGGAGAGGAGACUGGAAUUUACGGUGUAGCGGUGAAAUGCGUAGAUAUCGUAAGGAAGACCAGUGGCGAAGGCGGGUCUCUGGACAGUUCCUGACGUGAGGCACGAAGGCCAGGGGGAGCAAACGAG